rnacentral:misc_RNA from 1 species
GGCCUAGGAAAUAUGGUCCUGAUGGGACCAACAUGUCUUUAGCAUUGUCCCCUUUGUCUAGUAACCCUCCAAGUGGGUCCAUUACCCCCGGGCCAAAGCGUAUCAGGGGCCGGCCUCCUGGAAGUGGGUGGAAGCAACAAUUAGCUUCUGUUGGUGAAUGGAUGAGUAGUUCGGCUGGACUGGCUUUCACUCCUCAUGUUAUACACAUUGGUGUAGGAGAGGAUGUUGCGGAAAAAUUGUUGGCAUUUGCACAGCAGAGGCCUAGGGCUUUAUGUAUCUUAUCAGCUAAUGGUGCAGUUUCAGCUAUAACAUUACGCCCCCCUGCCAAUUCUGGUGCCACUGUUGCUUAUGAGGGCCGUUUCGAGAUACUAUCUCUGUCUGGUUCUUACUUGGUUGCUG